UGAGGCAGCAGCAGGAAGCUGGGGUGUGACGGGUGCCACCCACUGUUCCUGGCCAAAGUUGAGUGGAGCAGCAGCCGGCAGCACCCAGGGGUCUGGCAGCACCUGGCUCCCAUCGAUGGCCCCGGUGCUGCCGUGGGGUUUGGCUGCUGCUGCACCCAUUGGGUUUCUGCUAUUGCUGUUCCUGUGUGCCUUCUGCCCCAGGGCGAGCGGACGCUUCUCCACCCAGAGCACGGCAGGAAACUCCGGGCUGGUGACGCUGUCGGGACCGGACUGCAGAGAUGGGGAAGCAGCGCUGCUGGGAGGUGCAUCGCCUUGCAGCAGGACAGACGUCAGCACUGAGGGAAACACGGACAUCUCUGGGUCACCACACCCCAACACAUCCACUAAAUCUCCCCCGAGGACCCCAGACUUCCUGCGUCACCGGGAGCUCCCACUGCUGCCCGGUGACACCGCAGAGCCCACAGUGGACACAGUGCAGGAUGCCCAGGGGCCCAUCUAUGAAAGCAUCCGCUACAAAUCCCAGAAGCUCAGUGCUGGGCUGAAGAAGCCCUAUAGGGACGAUGGGGGCAGUGGGGAUGGUGGGGAUCCGGUGCAGUGCUUUGUUGUGCAAGAGGAGCCGUGCAGCCUGGGCAGCCCCAUACCUGUGUAUGCUCGCAUCUGCAAAGUGUCCCGGGCACCACAGAACUUGGUACCCAACAGCAUCGAGCCCGAGGAAGAGGCAGCUCCAGCACUGCCAGAGAAGCGCUUCGACAUCCUGUAG
rnacentral:lncRNA from 1 species